ACUUACGGCCAUACCACCCUGAGAACGCCCGAUCUCGUCUGAUCUCGGAAGCUAAGCAGGGUCGGGCCUGGUUAGUACUUGGAUGGGAGACCGCCUGGGAAUACCCGGUGCUGUAAGCU
rnacentral:rRNA from 1 species